UACGUAGGCAGCGAGCGUUGUUCGGAGUUACUGGGCGUAAAGGGUGUGUAGGCGGUUGUUUUAAGUUUGGUGUGAAAUCUCCCGGCUCAACUGGGAGGGUGCGCCGAAUACUGAAUGACUUCGAGUGCGGGAGAGGAAAGUGGAAUUCCUGGUGUAGCGGUGAAAUGCGUAGAUAUCAGGAGGAACACCGGUGGCGAAGGCGGGUCUCUGGGCCACUACUGACGCUGAGAAGCGAAAGCGUGGGGAGCGAACAGG
rnacentral:rRNA from 1 species